CCGAACCUGGGUGAUCUAUCCAUGACCAGGAUGAAGCUUGGAUGAAACUAAGCAGAGGUCCGAACCGACUGAUGUUGAAGAAUCAGCGGAUGAGUUGUGGUUAGGGGUGAAAUGCCACUCGAACCCAGAGCUAGCUGGUUCUCCCCGAACCGCGUUGAGGCGCAGCAGUUGACUGGACAUCUAGGGGUAAAGCACUGUUUCGGUGCGGGCUGCGCGAGCGGUACCAAAUCGAGGCAAACUCUGAAUACUAGAUAUGACCCAAAAAUAACAGGGGUCAAGGUCGGCCAGUGAGACGAUGGGGGA
rnacentral:ncRNA from 1 species